GGUUUGAUCAUGGCUCAGAUUGAACGCUGGCGGGAUGUUUGCUACUUUUCAUGCAAGUCGAACGGCAGCACGGACUUCGGUCUGGUGGCGAGAGUGGCGAACGGGUGAGUAAUGUAUCGGAACGUGCCUAGUAGCGGGGGAUAACUUACGCUGAAAGCAGCUAAUACCGCAUACGCCCCCCGGGGGAAAGCGGGGACCUUCGGGCCUUCGCACUAUUAGAGCGGCCGAUAUCGGAUUAGCUAGUUGGUGGGGUAACGGCUCACCAAGGCGACGAUCCGUAGCUGGUUUGAGAGGACGACCAGCCACACUUGGACCGAGACACGGCCCAGACUCCUACGGGAGGCAGCAGUGGGGAAUUUUGACAAUGGGGAAACCUCGAUCCAGCCACCCCGCGUGUGCGAUGAAGGCCUUCGGGUUGUAAAGCACUUUUGGCAGGAAAGAAACGGCACGGGAUAAUACCCCGUGCAACUGACGGUACCUGCAGAAUAAGCACCGGCUAACUACGUGCCAGCAGCCGCGGUAAUACGUAGGGUGCAAGCGUUAAUCGGAAUUACUGGGCGUAAAGCGUGCGCAGGCGGUUCGGAAAGCAGAUGUGAAAUCCCAGAGCUUAACUUUGGAACUGCAUUUUUAACUACCGAGCUAGAGUGUGUCAGAGGAGGUGGAAUUCCAAGUGCGUAGCAGUGAAUGGUGUAGAUAUGCGGAGGAACACCGAUGGCGAAGGCAGCCUCCUGGGAUAACACUGACGCUCAUGCACGAAAGCGUGGGGAGCAAACAGAUUAGAUACCCUGGUAGUCCACGCCCCGGAAAUGAUGUCAACUAGCUGUUGGGGCCUCGGGCCUUUUGGUAGCGCAGCUAACGCGUGAAGUUGACCGCCUGGGGAGUACGGUCGCAAGAUUAAAACUCAAAGGAAUUGACGGGGACCCGCACAAGCGGUGGAUGAUGUGGAUUAAUUCGAUGCAACGCGAAAAACCUUACCUACCCUGACAUGUCUGGAAUCCCGAAGAGAUUUGGGAGUGCUCGCAAGAGAACCGGAACACAGGUGCUGCAUGGCUGUCGUCAGCUCGUGUCGUGAGAUGUUGGGUUAAGUCCUGCAACGAGCGCAACCCUUGUCAUUAGUUGCUACGAAAGGGCACUCUAUCGAGACUGCCGGUGACAAACUGGAGGAAGGUGGGGAUGACGUCAAGUCCUCAUGGCCCUUAUGGGUAGGGCUUCACACGUCAUACAAUGGUCGGGACAGAGGGUCGCCAACCCGCGAGGGGGAGCCAAUCCCAGAAACCCGAUCGUAGUCCGGAUCGCAGUCUGCAACUCGACUGCGUGAAGUCGGAAUCGCUAGUAAUCGCGGAUCAGCAUGUCGCGGUGAAUACGUUCCCGGGUCUGUACAGACCGCCCGUCACACCAUGGAGUGGUUUUACCAGAAGUAGUUAGCCUAACCGUAAGGGGAGGGCGAUUACCACGGUAGGAUUCAUGACUGGGGUGAAGUCGUAACAAGGUAG
rnacentral:rRNA from 1 species